GACGAACGCUGGCGGCGUGCUUAACACAUGCAAGUCGAACGGAAAGGCCCUGCUUUUGUGGGGUGCUCGAGUGGCGAACGGGUGAGUAACACGUGAGUAACCUGCCCUUGACUUUGGGAUAACUUCAGGAAACUGGGGCUAAUACCGGAUAGGAGCUCCUGCUGCAUGGGGGGGGUGGGAAAGUUUCGGCGGUGGGGGAUGGACUCGCGGCUUAUCAGCUUGUUGGUGGGGUAGUGGCUUACCAAGGCUUUGACGGGUAGCCGGCCUGAGAGGGUGACCGGCCACAUUGGGACUGAGAUACGGCCCAGACUCCUACGGGAGGCAGCAGUGGGGAAUAUUGCACAAUGGGCGGAAGCCUGAUGCAGCAACGCCGCGUGCGGGAUGACGGCCUUCGGGUUGUAAACCGCUUUCGCCUGUGACGAAGCGUGAGUGACGGUAAUGGGUAAAGAAGCACCGGCUAACUACGUG
rnacentral:rRNA from 1 species